GCCAGUAGGCUGCCGUCCCUCUCCGCCUUCUCCUCCCUUCCCUCCUCACACUGCUUCUCCCGAUUCGGCCGUUGCCGGCGAACAGCAGCAGCACCCGAGGCCCCGUCCGCCCGGCCACAUGAGUACCAGCACCGGCGACUAGGAUCUUCGCACCUCCCGUGUCUAUUCCUUUCCUCUGCCUGUCUCGCUACCUCCUCUAAUUCCUAUGUCCUUCUCUCUUUGCCUCGAACACGGAACCUAUGCCAUGGCGCGAGCACCAGAGCUCUGCACGCCGCGAGCCGCGACCUCCCCGUCCACACCCGCUGCUGCUGCCUCCCCGUCGUCAUCUUCAAGCCCGCUCCUGCCUCGUCCUCGACCUUCCUUGCACGGAUCCGCCGCCGCUCCGUAUCGGAGUCCCGUGCCAAAUCCGCCGCCGGCGCUCCUUGCCGCCUCGUUCGUCAGGGAGACGACGAGAACAUGGGUCGUCAACGCUCCACCGUUGACCCCGCGCCAGGGGACGACUCCCCUCGCCUCUGCCUUUGGGCGCGGCCCAUCAUCACCUCUGCCGGCCUCUCCCUCUGCACCAGCGGGCCGUGGCCCAUUUCCAAUAAUGUCGCGUUUGUUAGGAUCCGUUCGACUACGUCCUUUUGUCUUCUUCAUGGACUCGUUCUUCUUCCUUGCGGGAUCUCAGGCAAGAUGACCAUACCCUCGAAAUCACUUCUAUCUUUGCUUGCUAGUUGCUCGCUCUUUUGCUAUGUCGCGAUACCUACCACUUGCUAUAUCAUGCCUCCUAUAUUGCCAUCUCAAACCUCUAACCCACCUUGUCCUAGCAAACCGUUGUUUGGCUAUGUUACCGCUUUGCUCAGCCCCUCUUAU
rnacentral:rRNA from 1 species